rnacentral:misc_RNA from 1 species
GAACUGCGAUAAGUAAUGUGAAUUGCAGAAUUCAGUGAAUCAUCGAGUCUUUGAACGCACAUUGCGCCCCCUGGCAUUCCGGGGGGCAUGCCUGUCCGAGCGUCAUUGCUGCCCUUCAAGCCCGGCUUGUGUGUUGGGUCGUCGUCCCCUCCGGGGGACGGGCCCGAAAGGCAGCGGCGGCACCGCGUCCGGUCCUCGAGCGUAUGGGGCUUUGUCAUCCGCUCGAUAAGGACCGGCCGGGCGCCAGCCGGCGUCUCCAACCUUUUUUUCUCAGGUUGACCUCGGAUCAGGUAGGGAUACCCGCUGAACUUAAGC